CCCGCUGCACUUAAGCGCCGUGACCGGCGCUGCCCCGCGUCCGGCCGGGCCAUGGAGGUGGCGCGGGAUUGCGUGGGAUCGCUGCUGCGAUCUUUCGUAUCCAUGGGAGCAUCUGUAGGAGCAGUAACAAGACAGACCCUGUUCCCUCCGCUCAUGCCUGCAGGGCGCCCUUUCCGUGUGUCCAAUGCCUCCCGAAGCAGCCGGAAGGGAAUUGUUGCAAGCAGCCUGCAAGAACUCCUCAGCAAGACUUUAGAUGCCUUCUUUAUAACUGCUGGAAUAGUUACUCUGGUAUUGGAGGAAGAUGGCACAGUUGUGGACACAGAAGAUUUCUUCAAGUCCCUGGAUGACAAUACACAUUUCAUGGUUCUAGAAAAUGGGCAGAAAUGGACACCAACAAAGAACGGAGUUGUUGCUGUGAGAAAAAAGAAGAAAAUGGGAGUAGCUAACAUCACAUUUGAUCUGUAUAAACUGAACCCCAAGGAUUUUAUUGGCUGCUUAAACAUCAAGGCAACCUUCUAUGAGAUCUACUCUAUCUCAUAUGACAUCAAAUGCAUGGGAGCAAAAAGUGUAUUGAGGAAAGUGAUCCAGCUGAUAUCCCAUGCAGCACAAAUAACUGGCCAGUUUCUGCUCUAUACUGGAACGUAUAUGUUGCAGUUGCUGGGUGAAUAUGAUGAAGACGACAUGUGCACGAGAUCCAGGCGGGAGUAGUGACCACAGCUUCUGAUGUCGAAUCCUUUCUCUUAAAGACAUUUUCUUGUCCAGUUCUAAUUGUAACACUGUUAUAGUAGGGGAUGUGCACUGCUGUGAACUAGCAUUUUUCCUGUUUGGGAGUGCCUGUGGGCCUUAGCCAUGAAGUGUUGGAUGUUCAUAGGCUCUUAACACCACAAAAAGAUGGGUGCCUAAUGUCUGAGAAUCUGGCAAAAGGAGAGAGAGGGCAGGUUUUUGCCCCAGAAAUUCAAAUUUAAGAAUAAGUAUACUUGGAAAUCUUCAUGCUUUGUAACCAAUGGAAUAUUUUUUUUGCACCAAUCAGGACAUUGGGGGUUUUGUGUGGUUAUUUUCUUGUUUGUUUUGGUGUUUUGUUGUUGUUUGUUUUUCAUGGCUAUCUACUUGCAUUCUAAACAGACUGGGCUGUAAGAUAAGGUCAUGGGGACUGUGGGGUUUGUUUAUUUGUUAGUUUUAAUCCUUAACAGUUCUGGCAUUAGUGUGAAGCUGACAUUGUGGUGAAUGUACCUAUUUACUCCUGCUGACAAUGGAACUACAUAGUGCAACUUCAGCCCUACUUCAGUGACUGGCUCUUCUCAUGAAGUCUUAUUGGAGAUUGUGCAACCACUAAGCAGAAGGUUAAGAUUUAGCCUUACUUCCCUUGAAACAAAUAAAACCUUCUCAUAGUAGUUCUUCAUAUUUUUUUUUUUCAAAUCUUCAGGAUGUUCAGGUUGUUACAGCUCACACAGUGCAAGAACCUGAUACCUUUUCUUAAUGAAUCUGAUGUCCAGUUCUGCCUGAGCAUUGAAUAAUCUUCUUUCAUGACUAUGACUUGUAAGGAACCUGCUGAAGCUUUUUUCAGGGGUUAAACCACCACUUCUGUAGUUUUUGCUGUUACAAGAUAACACUAGCUGUCAAGUUGGGCCUGAGGUACAUGUAUGGUACACGAUGCUGGAUAUUUUCUUGCCCUUGGUUUCAGAGAGAGCAGUAGGACACUGCCUAAUCUUGCAUAACAUAUGUGUAUGCUCUAAAGUGAAUAUUUGUAGUGUUAUAAUCUCCCAAGACAAGCUGUAUCAGAGGACAAAGUAAUGCUUCUUGCAGUUUAUUGAACUGGUGCUAUGCCCAGCGUUCAGUAAGCUUUUCCUCAACAGUGUGAAAGAUUGGGGAAGAAGUACCCUUAGGCAUCUUGUGUCAAAAUGCAGACUCACAUUGGUGAAGGAAAAAAAGCCCAGUUUUUGAUUGUUCACAGGUGUAGCUUUUGAAGUUUUUGUUUGCUUGCACAUGAAGAACUUGAGGAAGGCUGAAAGCUGUUAAGGUGAUACCAAAUGCAGGAAAUGUAUCUGUCCUGACAGUAGGUGCCACCUAGUAAGAGAAGCUCUAGUGCAGAGAGAACACGUGGGGCAGGGGAGGAAAUCGGUGGGAGUGAAAGGGAAAAGACCACUAUAGACCCCAUAGUUCUUGCCAUGCCUCUGAGACAGGAGUCCAUUAACUGUGUGCACCAGCUGCACUGACCUGAUCUGCUAAAAGAGAAGCAGAAAGGUGGAAAAGAUGAAGUAUCAUGGUUGGUGGUAUCUAUUCUGACCUCUUCGCUGGGUCUGUUCACUUCAAAGGUCACUGAUAUAUGGGAAAAUUGCUCUUGCUUUUAGCUGCAAGUCUCACCUUCAUGUGCUUAUUUUUUUCCUUCCCACUCUGAGUGUGGCUAUGCCAGUCUGAGCUGCAUAUUUCAGAUCACAUUUGAGAGGAAAGGCAGCCUAAACCCAAGUGCUAAAGGGGACUGAUGGAUACAAUUUUUGGUCGGUCUCUGCCCAUCUCUUAAGUGAUGGUAUUACAAAUAUAUAGACAGCUAAGAAAAACUUUGUCUUUUUUCCUAAUUCCUGUUGUUUCCCAUCUACUUCUGAGCAUUUGCUGGAGGAGGCAGAGGUCAUACUGCUCCAGAUAAGGGGAGGACUUGUUCUUUCCUAAUUUCUCACAGGAGAGAAUGCCUGGAGCUUGCAGCACUGUCACGUGUCCUUCAGAAGAAAACAAUAAACUAUUCUGGGAGUAAUGAGAAAGUUCCCGUUUUGAUAUAACCUCGUUGUUUUAUCUGUAUUUUUCUUGACACCCCCUGCGUAAAUGAUUGUUGCCACGUUAAUUGUUGGCCAAAGUCUUUCUUUCCCUGUCAAGGAAUUGCAUUUUAACUGCCUUUACAUGGACAUGGUAAUUAAUUUUUUCAGCUUUUAAGGACCACUUAUUCUAUUAAAACAAGCACACCUCUUGAAAGCAAAUUCUCUUAAAUGCUUCUGUGAAUAUUUUUGUUGCCUAUGGUGGGAACACCAGCAUUAAGAGAAGGUAAAACAACUGGAAUAUCUCAUUGUUGCUUUGUUUGAAUUGCUUCUUCAACAUCUGUAGUACAAAAGUUUGUGCAUGUCUGAACAGUGCAGAUCCUAAAUUACAGCCUUCUCUAGCCAGAGGCAAUUGUUACAGCACUAACACAUCAUGGUUUCCUGUGGCACUAUCUGGGAAUCCAGCAGUGAUCUGAAAAGCUAACCUGCUAUGAAUGUGCAAUGUUUUUAAGCAGCUGCUCUUUCAACAGCUUAACACUUAAAACUUGAUCUGCUGAAGUUCCUGUGUGCAGCAGUCUCCAUCUUGGAGCAAUUCCCUCUGUUCAGCUGUUUGCAUUUUGAAUUAAAUUAGCUCAGCUUUGAUACUUUCUCAGAAUGGGAGAAGUGUCCUAGAAGUUGUUUCUAAAAUUGUUUCAUUGCUUCUGAAUCUGGAUCUUUCACAGGCUUAAUAUUGGGAGGUGAUUUUUUUUUUCUACUGUACCAACUUCUAUCUGGAAAUAAAGUUUUGGCUUUGAGUCAAA